rnacentral:rRNA from 1 species
AUUAAGGCUUACGGUGGAUACCUAGGCAUUCAGAGACGAUGAAGGGCGUGGAAACCUACGAAAAGUUUCGGGGAGCUGGAAACAAGCUUUGAUCCGGAAAUUCCCGAAUGGGGCAACCCUUAACACUGCCUAUUGAAUUCAUAGAUAGGACAGAGACAACCCGGUGAAUUGAAACAUCUUAGUAGCCGGAGGAGAAGAAAGCAAAAGCGAUUCUCAAAGUAGCGGCGAGCGAAAUGGGAUCAGCCUAAACCAAUCUUAUGUAUAGGAUUGGGGUUGUGGGAAGAAGAGCCAACACCUAAUCAGUUGUUUACUUUGCCUGCAAAGUGAAAGAAGUGAUAGUCUUAGUAGAGCAAUUUUGUUGCAAACUAAUGACACAACUUUAUUGAUAAGGGUACUACAAGAGUAGUUGGCAAUAUGCACAGCCUUCACAUCUAUUUUCUCCACAGUACACAUAUUGCUUUGUAAUGUGAUGUAACUUCUUUACCAAAGGUAAAGAUGUGAUCAAAUAGAAGAUAUGUUUACAUGUUAUGGUCUGAUCAAUUAUUUACAUUGUUUCACAAUGUAACGAUUAAGAUAUGCAUAAUGUAACAAGUGACUUGCUCACCUAAACGAAGCAGCUGAAUCCUGCACCAUAGAUGGUGAAAGUCCAGUAGUUAAAAGGUAAGCUAUUGUGCCUCUAUAUUCUCUCCCGAGUAGCAUGGGACACGUGAAACCCCGUGUGAAUCAACGAGGACCACCUCGUAAGGCUAAAUACUCCUGAAUGACCGAUAGUGAAGAAGUACCGCGAGGGAAAGGUGAAAGAGAACCCCUGAAGGGGAGUGAAAUAGUACAUGAAACCGUAAUCUGACAAGCAGUGGGAGGGGCUCUAGCCCUGACCGCGUGCCUGUGGAAGAAUGAGCCGGCGACUUAUAGGGAGUGGCAAGGUUAAGGGAUCUUCCCGGAGCCAAAGCGAAAGCAAGUCUUAACAGGGCAAUUACAAGUCACUUCUUAUGGACCCGAACCCGGGUGAUCUAACCAUGGCCAGGAUGAAGCUUGGGUAACACCAAGUGGAAGUCCGAACCCAUCGAUGUUGAAAAAUCGUGGGAUGAGUUGUGGUUAGGGGUGAAAUGCCAAUCGAACUCGGAGCUAGCUGGUUCUCCCCGAAAUGCGUUGAGGCGCAGCGAUUGACGAUGAGCUGCCUAGGGGUAAAGCACUGUUUCGGUGCGGGCUGCGAGAGCGGUACCAAAUCGUAGCAAACUAAGAAUACUAGGCAUGUCCUUCCGGCAAUCAGUGAGACAGUGGGGGAUAAGCUCCAUUGUCAAGAGGGAAACAGCCCAGAUCACCAGCUAAGGCCCCAAAAUGAUCGCUAAGUGGAAAAGGAGGUGAGAGUGCAGAAACAGCCAGAAGGUUUGCUUAGAAGCAGCCACCCUUUAAAGAGUGCGUAAUAGCUCACUGGUGGAGCGUUCUCGCGCCGAAAAUUUACGGGACUAAGCGGUCUGCCGAAGCUGUGGGAUAGAUGUAUAAAUUUGUUUGAGAGUCUGUUCACUUUGUCAUCACUUUGCCUGCAAAGUGAGAAAGUGAAAAAAUGAUGACAAAACAUUCAAGAGAGAUGCAUGUAUCGGUAGGGGAGCGUUCCGCUCUAGGGUGAAGCAAGGGUGUAAACACUUGUGGACGAAGCGGAAGUGAGAAUGUCGGCUUGAGUAACGCAAACAUUGGUGAGAAUCCAAUGCCCCGAAAACCUAAGGCUUCCUUCACUAGGUUCGUCCAUGGAGGGUUAGUCGGGUCCUAAGGCAAGGCCGAAGGGCGUAGUCGAUGGAAAACAGGUUAAUAUUCCUGUACUUCCUCUUGGUAGGCACCGAGGGACGAAGGAGGCACGAGAUGGCUAAAAUUGGAUUUUAGUGGAAGUGUACAAGGCAAAGAGGACCAGAAGAGAAACUGAGUCUAAGCUGAGUCACCACACGGCCCCACAACUAGUCGAUCCCCUGUGGAUUUGCUUAGUGGGGCUUAUCUCUCCCUGUCAAACUUCCUAGAAAAGCUCGAACUGCUUUGUUACCAAGAGGAACCCGUACCCCAAACCGACACAGGUAGGUGGGUAGAGAAUACCUAGGGGCGCGAGAUAACUCUCUCUAAGGAACUCGGCAAAAUGGCCCCGUAACUUCGGGAGAAGGGGUGCCCCCGCAAGGGGGCCGCAGUGACCAGGCCCAGGCGACUGUUUACCAAAAACACAGGUCUCCGCUAAGUCGCAAGACAACAUAUGGGGGCUGACGCCUGCCCGGUGCCGGAAGGUGAAGGAAGUUGGUUAUCCUUUAGGAGAAGCUGGCGACCGAAGCCCCGGUGAACGGCGGCCGUAACUAUGACGGUCCUAAGGUAGCGAAAUUCCUUGUCGGGUAAGUUCCGACCCGCACGAAAGGCGUAACGAUCUGGGCACUGUCUCAGAGAGAGACUCGGUGAAAUAGACAUGUCCGUGAAGAUGCGGGCUUCCUACACCUGGACAGAAAGACCCUAUGAAGCUUUACUGUAGCUUGGAAUUGGGUUUGGGCCCCUUUUGCGCAGCCUAGGUGGGAGGCUAUGAGAGUCCUCUUCCGGGAGGGCUGGAGCCAUCAGUGAGAGACCACUCUGGAGGGGCUAGAAUCCUAACGGUGUUCCUUGAAACAGGACGCUUAACAGUUUCAGGUGGGCAGUUUGACUGGGGCGGUCACCUCCUAAAAGGUAACGGAGGUGUGCAAAGGUUCCCUCAGGCUGGACGGAAAUCAGCCGUAGAGUGUAAAGGCAUAAGGGAGCUUGACUGCAAGACCUACAAGUCGAGCAGGGGCGAAAGCCGGCCUUAGUGAUCCGACGGUGCCGCGUGGAAGGGCCGUCGCUCAACGGAUAAAAGUUACUCUAGGGAUGAAAACGUUGUCCCGCUUGGUGGCAACACCAAGGCAACAAACUGGGUGAAUUGCAAGGAUAGCUAACCUUACACACUUCUCAUGGUGAGUAAGUAUGCCAAUUUGCAGCGAAGAUUGCUGAAUCAUAACACUGUUCUUUGUCUUUUGCUUCGCAAGCAAAACAACGUAGACAGUGUGUAAGCGAUAACGUUCAACGACUAGGGAGUGCGGAUAUGAAACCUAUAAUCUCCCCACGAGUGCCCAGCAACUCAAAGCGCAGAUACGAUUGCGCUAUCUUUUUUUCUUACACAAAAUGAGGCAUCUUGUAAGGUUUUUAACUGUUAUCUACUUAUCUUUUUGGUUUGUAUUG